CCAAUAAGCGGAGGAAAAGAAACCAACAGGGAUUACCCUAGUAACGGCGAGUGAAGCGGUAAUAGCUCAAAUUUAAAAUCUGGCUCUCUUCAAAAGAGGCCCGAGUUGUAAUUUGUAGAGGAUGCUUCGGGUGCGGUCUCGGCGUAAGUCCCUUGGAACAGGGUGUCAGAGAGGGUGAGAAUCCCGUCUUUCGCCGUUGGUUCCGCGCCCGUGUGAAGCUCCUUCGACGAGUCGAGUUGUUUGGGAAUGCAGCUCUAAGUGGGUGGUAAAUUUCAUCUAAAGCUAAAUAUUGGCCGGAGACCGAUAGCGCACAAGUAGAGUGAUCGAAAGGUUAAAAGCACCUUGAAAAGGGAGUGAAACAGUACGUGAAAUUGUUGAAAGGGAAGCGCUUGCGGUCAGACUUAGGGGGUUUUGUUUGGUAGACGCUUGCCGUCUAUUUACUCAAUUCCUCCUAGGCCAGCAUCGGUUUCUGUGGCCGUCAAAGGCCCCUGGAAUGUAUCGUCUUUCGGGACGUCUUAUAGCCAGGGGUGCAAUGCGGCCUAUAGGGACCGAGGAACGCGCUUCGGCUCGGAUGCUGGCAUAAUGGCCGUAAGCGGCCCGUCUUGAAACACC
rnacentral:rRNA from 1 species